rnacentral:rRNA from 1 species
GACAGAGGGUGUAAACGUUGUUCGGAAUUACUGGGCGUAAAGCGCGUGUAGGCGGCCCUGCAAGUCGGAUGUGAAAUCCCACGGCUCAACCGUGGAAGUGCAUUCGAAACUGCAGGGCUAGAGUCCUGGAGAGGAAGGUGGAAUGCUUGGUGUAGAGGUGAAAUUCGUAGAUAUCAAGCGGAACACCGGUGGCGAAGGCGGCCUUCUGGACAGUGACUGACGCUGAGACGCGAAAGCGUGGGGAGCAAACAGG